rnacentral:rRNA from 1 species
CGGACGGGUGAGUAACGCGUAAAGAACUUGCCCUUUAGACUGGGAUAACAGAGGGAAACUUCUGAUAAUACUGGAUAAGUUAGUAUAUCGCAUGAUAUGCAAAUGAAAGCUACGGCACUAAGGAGAGCUUUGCGUCCUAUUAGCUAGUUGGUAAGGUAAGAGCUUACCAAGGCGAUGAUAGGUAGCCGGCCUGAGAGGGUGGACGGCCACAAGGGGGACUGAGAUACGGCCCUUACUCCUACGGGAGGCAGCAGCC